rnacentral:rRNA from 1 species
UACAGAGGUGGCAAGCGUUGUUCGGAAUUACUGGGCGUAAAGGGCGCGUAGGCGGUCUUGUAAGUCCCGUGUGAAAGCCCCCGGCUCAACUGGGAAAUGGCACGGGAAACUGCGAGGCUUGAGUUCGGGAGAGGGAAGCGGAAUUCCGGGUGUAGCGGUGAAAUGCUUAGAUAUCCGGAGGAACACCGGUGGCGAAGUCGGCUUCCUGGACCGACACUGACGCUGAGGCGCGAAAGCUAAGGGAGCAAACUGG